rnacentral:rRNA from 1 species
ACCUGCCCACUGAAAUAUUUUAAAUGGCCGCAGUAAUUUGACUGUGCAAAGGUAGCAUAAUCAUUAGUUUUUUAAUUAAAAGCUUGUAUGAAGGGUUGGACGAAAUAAAAUCUGUCUUUAUUUAAAUAAUAUUAGAAUUUAAUUUUUAAGUUAAAAAGCUUAAAUUUAUAUAAAAGACGAGAAGACCCUAUAGAUCUUUAUAUUAUUAUAAAAUAAUUUUAAUUAAGAAUAUUUAAUUUUUUAUUUUAUUUAGUAUUUUAUUGGGGUAAUAAAAAAAUUAAUUAAAUUUUUUUUUUUAUUUUACAUAAAUUAAUGAAUUUAUGAUCCAUAUUUUUUGAUUAUAAGAUUAAGUUACCUUAGGGAUAACAGCGUAAUUUUUUUAAAGAGUUCAUAUCGAUAAAAAAGUUUGCGACCUCGAUGUUGGAUUAAAAAUUGUUUUAGGCGUAGAAGUUUAAAAAUUUGGUCUGUUCGACCAUUAAAUUUUU